GUGGUGGGAAGUUGCAUGGUAUGUAGGAAGACACGUUGCUAAAAUAAGCUCAAUCAUUUUUCUACUUAUUUCUCAUUCCCUUCCAUUUUAAAGUUCAUCUCUCAAUCCACUUCAUUUUUUCCACCUCUCAAUCAAGUUCUCUUUACUAGAAGAUAAAAUCAUCAUUUGUUUGCUUACACCUAUACUUAUUGGCAGGUUUUCGGUGAGAGUAUAGUCUCCUCACGUAUUUCCGGGUUCUCUUUUCUAGAAGAUAAAAUCUUCACUUGUUUGCUUACACCUAUACUUAUAGGUUUGGUGAGAAAUUAUUGUCUCCUCACAUAUUUACUGGGUUUGGGAAAACCCUAGUUUUCAAAAAAGGCAAGUCCUUGGAGGAGAAAGACCAGUUGGUUCAGAGUGCCAAGCGUGCGAAGGAGACUGAGAACAGUAGUAAGGUUGCAGAUGGAAUGGUCAUGGAAAGUGUGAUGAACGAGAUGUUGCAUGCAUUGAAAGCCGUAACUAUCACCACAACGAGUAGGUCUUACAAAGAUACGGUUUUAGAUGGCAAUGGUGUCGAGACUAAGGAUGCAGAGGAGAAGAGUGUUGGCAUGGAAAGUGAUGAUGAGGAAGACGACGAGUUUGUGGAAGCAAUAACAGUGGAGGAUCAAAAAAUUGGAAGGUACGACGGUCCCUUGUUUAUUUUAUCCCUUGUUUAUUUUAUCCAAAACUAAGGAGAAAGGAAUCCAUAAGCCAUGGAAGAAAGGUUGAGAGGUUUUAUAGUUAAGUUGUUGGGUAGGAGAAUCAGUUACAAGGCAUUAGAGACAAGGUUGAAGCACAUGUGGGUGAAAAAAAGGAAUAAUAAUAAUUAUUGACCUUAGUAAUGAUUAUUUUCUUGUUACCUUUUCCCACGAGCAAGAUCAUGCGGUAGCAACAUUGAAUGGGCCUUAGUUUAUAUACGAUCAUUAUCUUACAGUCAAGGAAUGGUGUCCAAACUUCCACCCUCAAAGUGAUACAAUUAAGAAUGUUGUGGUGUGGGUGAGAAUUGCAGAGCUGCCGAUUGAAUAUUACGACAGUGGAAUUCUACAUAACAUUUGCAACAGAAUUCGAAAGACAGUUAAGAUGAACAAGAAUACGAUCAUGCACGAAUGGGGGAAGUAUGCUAGGAUAUGUGUGGAGGUUGAUCUAACCAAGGCGUUAUUGGCAACCUUCAUGUUAGGUGUACGACAAUACCACAUUGAGGGAUGUCUUGACAAGCUAAAAUCUAAUACUGGAGGACUUGCAUGUGAGGGAGGAGUGAGGGCUGGGAACCAGACAAUUGUGGGAGGUCAGCUUGGAGAAAUGAGCAAUGGACCUUGGAAAGUGGUUCAAAAACAGCGUAAAACCUGAGUAUUAAAGGACAAAGGCAGUUGAAUGGUGCUGGAAUGGUGAGACAAGGGCCUGAUGUGGUGGUGGUGGAUAGGCAGCAACAAGGGUCACGUUUUUCUGCAUUAAAUCAGGCGGACGAGGUUUUUGUAUGUGGAGAAGCCAAUGUGGAGGUGAAUAGUGAGCCAAUCAUAGAGAUAGUUCAAUUGGGGGAACAUGUGAUAUCUAAGAAGGUUCAGCUUGUCAAGAUAAUUAAUGCUCAGAAGCAAAAAGAGGAUGAGACUGUUAGUAUGAGACAAAGCCUGGAAAGGAAUAAAGCAACAACAAGAAUAACGAAAGAUCCUCCAAGCAAAUCAAAGGGUUUAAAAGUGGAUAGUGGUGGUCAAAAUAUUAAUCAUGAAAAAAGCAAAAGAGGUAUCAAUCUUAGGGCAAGGGUCACAUGUAGCUUUAAAGGGAAGAUAGUGAGUAAGAAUGUUGGGCGUAAUGCUAUGGAGAAUAACAUAGGUGUUAUGGAAGCAAGUAAACUGGCGGCAUUAUUUAAGAACCAAUUCAAGCCAAUGAGGCAUUGUCACAACGAUAUGCAACAUGAAGAAAACAGGAGCAUUAGAGCCACAAGCUACCAGGGUGGGCCAGUUUUGGAGCUACUCCAAAAUGAUGAUACUUAUAAGGCCAAGCCACCAGAUGUUAGUAAAGGCCUGCAUUAUGCAGGCCUGGGGAAAUACAGCCUCGGCGCAAGUGAGAUUUUGGAGCCCAGGUCGGAUCAACUUCAAGAAGUCAUAGAAUCUACACCGAUUUCUUCGAAUACGGAGGUUGUAAAGGAAAAUCUUGAUGGAGAGUUGUAGUGAGGCUGGUUGUUAACUCUAAAUAAUCAUUGUUUAUGAUGAAUACACCAAAAAGCAUACUUGUGUGGAAUUUCCGUGGAGCAGCUAACAAGAAUUUUUAUCGUUAUUGCACUGAAUAUGUAAUUAAAUGGAGACCUUUGUUACUGGUAAUUAUGGAAAAACGAUGCCAGGCUGAGGUUGAAGAAAGCCUUUGAGUUGCUAGGGUAUGAUGGUUUUGUUACGUCUGAUAAUAUGGGAUAUGCUGGUGAUAUCGUUAUUGGUUGGCGUUCAAAUUCCAUUGAUGUUCAGCUAGUGGAAUAGUCUCUACAGUAUGUGCAUCUAUAAGUGAACUACACUAGUUGUGCUAAAUGGUUAUUUACUACACUAUACGCAAGCCCAACAUAGGUGAAUUAGAGCAUUCUUUGGGAUAACUUAAGAGCUAUUGCUUGACAUAUGACGGAGGCCUAGGAGAUUUUAAUGACAUUAUGUGUGCAGAUGAGAGGAGAGGUGGGGCACCCGUGAGCCUUAAUAAGUGUGGAAAAUUCAGGAAAGAGUGGAUAGAUGUUAGCUAAUGGAUGCAUGGUUUGGGGUGCUAAAUAUACUUGGAGAGAGCUUAUGUAUCAUGGAGGGAAAAGGAUUUGGGAAAGGCUUGAUAGAGCCCUUAUAAAUGACAACUAGAGACUUAUGUUCCCCGACGGUUAUGUUAAGGUGCUUUCGCAGUUGAGUUUUUUGUAUCAUCACCCUUUGUCGUUAUCUCCCUUCGAUGGUUCACAUGUGUGUCCUCCAAAUCUAUUUAAGUUUAAGAGUGUGUGGCUACUCGAGGAUAGCUACUAUACUAUGCUAAGAAGCAAUUGGGAUCCAGGCUCAACUAUUUGGCAGAAUCUUCAUACAAUACAUACUAAUAGUGUGGAGUGGAAGCUUACUAGUUUUAAUCAAGUUCGUAACCUUAAAAAAGAACUGGUAGCGCGGCUGGGUGGUAUUUAGAAGCGCAUUCAAGCUAGAAUUUUCCAUUGAGGACUCGGUGCGCUUGAGCUUCGUUUACAGGCUGAGUUGGAUGCUAAAUUGUAGCCGGAGAAAUUCAUGUGGCAUCAGUGUUCCCGUGCAAAAUGGUUGCGGGAUGGUGAUAUGAAUACUCGGUAUUACCAUAUCAAAGAGGUUAUGCUACGUCGACAGAAAAAUAUAUUAAUGCUGUGGACUGAUAAUGGUGAAUGGAUUGAGGAUGCUAGUUUGCUCAGUAAUAUGGCGACGACGUUCUACAAGAAGUUGUUCUCGUUAGAUCAGAGGUAGGAUGUGAGAAUUGCCACAAGGUCUUAUUGUAGAUGAAGAAGUUAGAAAAGCUGUUUUUAAUAUGCAUCCGCAGAAAGCGCCAGGGCAAUAUGGAUUUCCCACUGAUUCUUAUAAAAAAUCAUGGGAUAUAGUUAAGGAUAACGUGUGUUGAAAGAAAUGAAUUAAAUGGAUAUCUACCUUAUUCCAAAAGUCUCGCAUCCAGAGCUUAUUAGCCAGUUCAGGCCAAUAUCUUUGUGCAACUCCAUUUAUAAUGUGGUCACGAAGUGGUUAGUUGACAAAUUGGAAGAUUGUAUGACGUUACUCAUAUCCCCUUACCAAACGGAACGUACACGAGAAUAUUACUAUUGCGUAGGAAAUGGUGAACACUAUGAUGAAAGCAAAGGGAUGUAAUAGUUACUUUGUAAUUAAAGUGGAUCUUUCAAAAGCAUAUGAUAAAUUAAACUAGAAUUUUAUAGAGCAUGUGCUUGUUAAAUUUGGUAUUCCGGGUAGUAUGUUGAAUGUGAUACUGCAUGCAAUUUCAGCUGUGGAAAUGAAAGUGAAAUGGAAUGGUGCUAGAAGAGAGUUCUUUUGUGUGCUGAGAGGUAUCAGGCUGGGUGAUCCAAUAUCGCCGUAUUUGUUCGUGUUGUGCAUGGACAAGCUCUCGCAUCUUAUCAGUGAAGAAGUGAAUGAAAGUAGAUGGAAAGCUCCUAGGGCUGGUAGAAAUGGUCCAGUUAUCUCCCAUCUGAUGUUUGUGGAUGACUUAUUACUGUUUGGCGAAGCUAAUAUGGUCCAGAUUAGGUGUGUUAUGCGAACUUUGGAGGUUUUCUGCAAGGCUUCAGGCCAACAAAUGAGUAAUGAGAAGACUAGUAUAUUGUUUUUGCCUAACUUGAGUAGAAGAAGUAAAGAGGAUAUCCUUCGCAUUUCUGGUUUUCGUGAGACCAAUGUCCUUAGAAAGUACCUUGGAGUGCCUCUCACCGGUAAAGCUCCCAAGAGAAAAGAUUUUGAGUACGUCGUUGACCAAGUAAAGGUUAAGCUCGUGAAGUGGAAGGAAAAGCAACUUUCUUUUGCGGGGAGAAUAAUGUUGGCUAAGAGCAUUUUGGAGGCCAUACCAAUUUAUCCUAUGAUGAAGCGUAUGCUUACAAAAACUAGUGUAGAGGAAAUUCAUAAGAUUCAGCGGCAGUUUAUAUGGGGGGAUACGGAGUUUCGACGGAAGUAUCAUGCAGUGGGUUGAGAGAUGAUCACUCAACCGAAAAUCCUUGGUGGAUUGGGGCUUCGGCGACUUCAUGUAAUGAAUAAGGCAUGUAUUAUGAAGCUAGUCCAUGGACUGCAGACUACUUCACAAGACUUGUGGUGUCAAGUUCUUCAUGGAAAAUACCAGUGAAAUAACUGCGGUAAUUAUAUGGAAGUGCGGCCUAUUGAUUCUCAUUUAUGGAGAAGUAUAAUCAAGUUAUGGCCUUUGAUGGAAUAUUAUAAGUAAUGGCUAGUUAGAGAUGGGGGAACCAUUUAGUUGUGUUAUGAUACGUGGAUUACCGCAGGUAUUAAGCUGGCUGAGAUAUCGCUGGAUAUACCAGCAAAUUGCAAUAAUGCAAAGCUGGCCGAUGUUGUUCUUGACGGACAAUGGAAUUGGAGUAUGCUACAGUGGAUUCCUGCAUGAUUCUUAGGAAAAAUAAGCGUUAUCCUGGCUCCACGUGACAAUUACAGUGCUGAUGAGAGGGUGAGCUGGGAUACGGAUCCAAAACAGACCUCUAUUGCUAACAUGUACUACAAAAUGUGCAACUUUCAGCAAUAGGCAGAGAAACACGACUUGGAUUUGGAUAUGGCGGCUAAAAUCCCCAGAGCAGGUUCGGGUGUUUGUUUAGAAAGUUAAGCAUAAUCGAUUGCUCACUAAUGUACGGAAGCACCGUAUGGGACUUGGCAUACGCAAUUGUGACUACUGUCAUGGCUUCCCGGAAACUGCUCUUCACGUGGUGCAGGACAGUAAAUUGGCGUAUCAAUUUUGGUGCAGUAUUGUCCCAAUUACGAAAAGGUAUAACUUUUUCAUGUGUAACCUGUCGUCAUGGAUGAACAGGAAUUUAUGCAAUAAACGAAAUCUUGGUUGGCCAGAAAAUUGAGACAUAUUUUGGGCGAAUGCUUGCUAUAUGCUGUGGAUGUGGAGGAAUAAAGAGAAGUUUAAUGAAGGUUUCGUUCGGCCGCAUAAUCAGGUGGAGAGAGUGGGGAGGGUGAUUGGAUGUUAUGAGAUAUCAGAUGGAAUUAUGCAAGACUGUUGUACGGGAAGAGAAAUUACUAUGAAAAUUCACUUUGUCCCUCCUAAAAGUGGGUGGAUUUGCAUUAAUAUCGAUGGAGCUUGUAAAAAUGGUAUUAUUGGUUGUGACGGUGUGAUUCGAGGGGGUGUCAGUGAAUGAAUUAAUGGGUUUGAAAUUUAUUGGGAGAGGGGACCCUUAUCUCGAUGAACUAUGGGGUCUCUAUGAAGAGUUGCAGCUUGCUAGGAAUACACACUUUUGUAAGGUAGAGCUGAGGGUGGAUUCAUUGAUAGUGGUUCAGAAUGUCAAAGAGAUGAGACUUAUCCAUCUAGGACGGAAUAAUCUCGCGACCAAGAUAAUUAGUAUGUGGGAUCUAGACUGGGAGUUGGAAAUCGUCCAUGUUCAUAGGAAAGUUAAUCAAGUGGUUGAUGCACUGACAAACCAUAGUUUUUUCCUGAAGGAAGAGUAUAGCAUUUUCACGGAUUGUCCUAUUAAUUUUGAGAAUAUUCGUAGAGCAGAUUAUAACAACAUUAAUAUUCAUAGAGUUACUUGUCUGUAGUUUUCUUUCUCCGGGCAUUUAUCCCUCUCUCUAAUAAAAAUAAAAAUAAAAAGAAAAGAAUAUUACUUUUAAUCUAUAUUCUUUUUAUUAAAAAAUAUUAAACAUUUGACUAUGGAAAAAAAUUCAUAGAUUCUUAUCCAUGAGAAUUAAAAGAAGAUAUUUCUUUUAACUUUAUUUUUUUAAAUUUUUUUUAUAAUUUUUUUUAAAUGUUACGAACUUUUUCAAAUUCCUUUUUUUAUAAAUUGAAAGAUUAAUUUUGAUAAGUAAUGACAUAAACAUGUAUUUAUUAAUAGGCUCACAAACGCUUUAAAAAACAUAGGAAAUUAUUUUAUGCCUUUAUAUAGUGGAAAACACCCAUAAUAUUCCCAAAAUACCUUUCAGAUAUGCAUAUUCGAAGACACUCUUAUUACGUUCUUAUCACCUUUCAGAUAUGCAUAUGCCUUUAAAAUUUCAGGUGUUUUUUCGGAUAUGCAUAUCCGAAAAAACGCAUUUAAAAAAAAUGGAAUAUUGGUUAAUUUGGAUAUGCAUAUCUGAAGUAUUUAAUAUUAAAAAAAAGUUUAUUUUAUUUUGAAAUAAUAUUUAUUUUAUAAUAUAAUUAUAUAAUAAUUAGAGUGAGUUAUUAUUAAUAAAGAAUAACUUAAAUACAAAUGGUUAUAAAUAAGGAAUAGAAGAUUAAAUAAAAUUUUAAUUUAUAUAGGAAUAUUUUAAUUUAUAAGCAUUAUAAUUUUUAAUUUAUAUUAAUUUUUUAAUUAAUUUUAUAUGAGAAUAAUGUGUUGAUUUAAAUAUUUAAUUAAUUAUAUAUUUUGAUAAAAAUGGUUUAUAUUUAAUUAUAUAUCUUGAUUAAAAUGGUAUGUAUUUAAUUAUAUAUUUUGAUUAAUACAAUUAAUUCAUCUUGAUUUUAAUUUUUUUAACAAAUAUUGAGUUUUUUCGAAUAUGCAUAUUCGAAAAAUUCUAAGACAAAAAAUUGAGUUAUUUCUGAUGUGCAUCUCCAAAGUCACCUCUUUUCAAAAAAAUCUAUUCAGAUAUGCAUAUCCGAAAUCACCAUUUAUAUAAAAAAGUGUGUCUUCGAUGCACAUCCAAAAAAUAGAAGUAUUUUGAAGAUUUCGCCGCGAGUAUGUAAGAAGACAUACGAAUGCAUAAAGAAAUUACCAAAAUAUAUAUCAAAAUUUUUUUUAAAAAAAUAACUUUUUAAAAAGUAAUCCUUUUAUCAAUAAAUUUAAGAGUAUAUAAAUGUUGGUUUGUUGAUACUUUGAAUACAUCAAUAAAAAGUAUAAAAUAAAGUUCUCAGAGAAUUGUCAACAACCGGAUUUCACAUAUAAAGGAGAUUCGUUCCUCUUUGAGGAAGUAUGUCAGGCACGUUUUUACGGUAAAUAUCAUACCUAGUAACAUCACCAAAACUUUGGAAGAGAGCCAAAAUUCAAAAUCACCUCCAUUAAAGACGACACUAAAAUUAUCCCUCACAACAAUGAUUUUAUGGUCAUUAUUGGUGCAAUAUUACGAUGGAAUAUAAAGCGAGAGUACCAAUCGACCUUAAAAGCUUGACAAAGGUUUUAUUCUGGAGCACCUUUUAAGGGAUUCAGCUUGACCCAGACAACAUCAGAGCAUUCCAAGAUUCUUUGAUUAGUCUGUCAGAUAAACAUGUAUAUAUAACAAUCGAAACAACAUUAGGCUCACAGGAAAGCGUAAAAACAAUCAAAGUAAGGUAUCUCGUGGUGGAUGCCUUGUUUCCAUACAAUGCCAUCCUAGGAAAUCCUGCCUUCAACUUGCUACGGAUGGUCAUGCCUACCCUUUAAAUAAGUUUCAAGUAUCGCGUUGUCAUAAACAUUGCCCUAAGCCAGAAGCACGAGAGGAAGAUGUCACAAGAUGGAACCCUAGAUUAUUUACCUAAAAUAAAAGGCUCACUCCCACGAAGGAUUUGAAAGAAGUCCGGAUUGGGCCUUUGAAACAUCAAGUGACCAAAUUAGGCACCUCCUUAUAUAUUUCUAAGGAGGGAGAGCUGGUCGCCCUACUAAGGAGGAACAUAUACUUGUUCGCCCAUGAGUCUUCAAAUAUGCCAAGAAUAGGUACAAGAGUGGUCUGACAUCGCCUCGCAAUUGACCUCGCAGUAAAAGCAUUAUCUUAGCGGAAUUAGAUCUUGAUGGAUUAUAUGGAUGCGACCAAGAAAACAUUCAUGUACAAUCACAUAAAUUAUUGCUUCAAUGUCAUGCCAUUUGGGCUAAAGAAUUAGGAGCCAUUUAACAAAGAAUCAUGGACACAGUAUUCUCUAAAUAGAUAGGGAACAACCUGGAGGUAUACAUUGAUGACAUUAUAGUAAAGACCUUAAAAGGGAAGAGUCAUGCAACAAACCUAUAAGAUAUCGUUGAGUCAGUCAAAAACUACAACAUGCAUUUGCUAAGUGCUCCUUUGGCAUACAAGAUCAAGUUUCUAGGUUUUGUAUUAACCAAGAGGAGGUAUAAAUGUGAACCCAAAUAAGUGUUAGACCAUCAGUGACACGAGAAGCCUUAUGCACGUUAAAAAGGUUCAACAACUAACGUGGCAUUUAUCUUCCCCAUCUCUUUUCCUUUCUUGUCCAGAUGACAAUGCUUUUCAUUUAUUUGCCACUUUGAAGAAAAAGGAGAUGUUCACUUGGACGAGCAAGUGCGAAGAGGCAUUCCCAAAAUUAAAGGUCUUCCUGACAUCGUUGCCCAUCUUGACUCGCCUAAUAGUAGUUUCUCCCUUCUACCUCUAUUUGUUUGUUACUAACCAUGCGAUGAGUUUGAUGCUCGUCCAAGAUAUAGAUAAAGUUGAGCGAUAUGUCCAUUUUGUGAACUAAGUAUUUAAGGGUGUUGAGGCUCGAUAUCAAAAUUUUGAAAGACUCGGUGGUCGUGAUAACUACAAGAAAACUCAUACCCUACUUUCAGGGGCAUCGCGUUAUGGUGAAAACCAACUACCACAUUCAAGAGGUCUUGAAGAAGUCAGGUCUAGAAGGAAGGAUACUAUCUUAGGCAGUGAAACUAUUUAAGUACGAAAUUCCGUAUAUACCCCUCAUUUAACCAUUAUAGAGACUUCGUUCAUAAUGGUAUACGAAAAGGACAUCAUGCUACCUGUUGAAAUAAACACACCCACUUGGUGGCGCUCUCUAUAUAAUGCGAAAGAGAAUGAGGCAGGGAUUAGAUGCGCAAUCGACCUAAUUGACGAGAAGAGGGAUGUUGCUCACAUGAAGGUAUAUUUUUCCAAGGAAACAACAUCCAGAAUGUACAACUCAAAAGGGGUUUUUAAGGGAAAUGCAAGAAGGAGAACUAGUACUUAGACAUGUUGUUGUUCCCAUCAUGUAGGUGAAACUAUAACUCAAUUAGGAAGGACCAACAACAUAUGUCAAAAACUACCUCACGGAACCUACAAGAUUGAAGAGCUGGUGGACGACUCAUCCCCAGAACAUGGAACUCUAUUAUCGUGUGAUAUUACUAUAGUUAAUUGUUUUUUGGUUAUGUCUUUAAAUACAAAAGGCAUUUGGCCUAUCAAUUUGGGAAUCUCUUUGAAAAUAUUAUUGUUAUUUACAAUCGGUUAUUUCGUUCCUAAGUUGACAUGAAUAUCAGGCUUUUACAUGAAUAUCCUUGCCACCCUCUAAAAGAUAAUCUAAACGUUGAACUUUCAAAGGAGGAUCAUUCCCGCCCUUAAACAACUUAAAGUCUUGCAUGAGGGAAUCAACUCAAAGCCUCGCAUGAAGGACUUAACUUAGAGUAUCACCAGAGAGAUGCAACUUAAGGUCUUACUUAAGAGACUCGAAUUAAACUCUUGCCCUAAGGGAAUAAACUUAAAGUUUCUCUAAAGGGACUCAAUAAAGACCCUCACCCGAAGGACUCAACUUAAAGUCUCACCUAAGGGACUCAAUUGAGAGUCUUGUCUCAACAACUUAAGCUAAACAAUUGAAAUAACUUUGUAUUUUAUAAAGACAUCGUGUUUGAGAGAUUGUCUAUUGGAAUAAGUGUAAAAGUCCCCUAGAGGAGGUACCCUAACUCUUAAGACAUGCGAGGUGGAACAUCUCCCACGCGAGAGACUCCAUGGCCUCCCAUUUAUUGGGAUGGGAUCUCAUUUCUUGAUUUGGUCUCCCACUCUAUGGGUGACUCGCUCGAUUCGUGAGAAUGUGAAUGCUGACGUGUCCUAGCCCAACAAUAGUUAGGAUAUGGAAGUUAAAAAAGGAAAGAUCACAUUCUCCUGAAUAAUAGGAAAUUAGUUGUUCACUCUCCAUAUUCUUAGGAGCGAUUAUUAUUAUAUUGGAGCUUGAGGUCCAGGUCUAAAGAUUUAUAAUAAAUACCUCAACCCUAAGGUUGAAGCGAAUCCUGUUCAUUAUGCAAAGCACCAUAUACAAAGCUUCUCACCAUUCCCGCGUCUGCUUCCUCUAAUACACAACAACCAUAAACACCUCUGGAAGCCCUACACAACAAAGGAUUGUCUUGUAUUUUACUUUUGGCAAACAAACAAACUUGCAAACAAACUAAUGAAAAAAGGUGUCAUCCAUCAGUGCAACGCUCAAAUAAAAUAACCAGUCAAAAACUAGUCCCACUCUAUUUUUAAAUCGACAACUAAAGGCCCCAAAAGUACAUCGAGCAAACUAAAAAAGCCACAAUAUAUGCCAUACCAAGGUUACAAGAACAACAAAACAAGAACGACCAAAGAAAGAACAAACAAAAUAUGUAAAUUGAGUCCCAAGAUAGUCUAAUACAAAACCAUUGGUCCAAAAAAGAGAGAAAGUUGAAACAAUAAAAUUCAUUGCAAUGACAAUGCAAACACCGUGGAAAAUGGGAAGAGGCUAAAACUUAGCCCAAAAGGAACCACCAUUAGUAGAAAAAAUACUCUAAAAAAACCACCAAAAAACGUCACUGAAAGGUAAAAGACUCUCAAUAUGCUAUUGGCUAAAACAAACAAUAAUGUUCUUAAGCCGAAUGGAGAAAACACAAGAGUUUCGUAGUGGACCUACCAAUAUUCCAUCUCCAUGAUGUGAAAAUGAUCUAAUCUUCCAUAUCCUUUACACCAGUUGACGAAUCUGCAAAAAUUGAUAUCAUUAUGGGAUUUUCUUAACGACCACACUAUCGAAUAUCAAAUCAUAAAAACCCACCUCUUAUGAUGAACAUGCCUCCCAAUGACCUAAACACCUUAAAAAGAGUCGGAAGGUCCUUAGGAAGAGCUAACUAUAACCCCAACCACGUAAAAAAUAUAUACUAAACUGAUGCACACAUUCUGCAUGUUACAAACAAAUAAGAAAUAAACUUGAUAGACCCUUAAACAGUAGACACAAAAUAACUUAUGAGUCAACCAACACCCUCCGCUUAUGCAAGAUCUCUCUGAUAUGAAUCUUAUCUUGAAAAAAUUGUUAAUAGUUUAAAAAGUUUCAAUUACUCCAAAAUAUGGAAAGGGCCGACUCCAUAGAAUUGAGCAACAACUCACUUGGAAGAUUGCACAUAUGAUGAGGUAAGUAAGUUAAGGCUAAAGAAAAAUAUUAUUCUCAUUCAGUUUGAUAAAAAGCCUAUUUAUUAAUGAAAAAUUCGAUAAAUAGAUUGAAAUGUAAGAAUAGAACAAUAACGGUUUCUUCGACGGGGGCUUGGGUGGAAAAUGUUUGGAUUUGGGAGGUGAAGCUUAAGCCUGAGAGGUUGUUACGGGCGGAGGAAGAAAUUGAGUUGGAAUCUCUCUAUUCCGUUAUGCAGGAUGUUCAGAUUUAUCAGCAAAUGAAGGAUUCUUUUAUGUGGUGGAGGAGCAAUAACGGUUUCUCGGUUAAAAGUAGUUAUCAAGGUUUAGAAGCUGCUUUUGGUUUGAAGGUGCGGAUUGAUGAGUGCUACUUUCAGUUGUUGGAUCUGCUUUGGAUAACAAAUGUGCCUAGCAAAAUUCUAGUUUUUGGAUGGAGAUUUUUGUUGAACAGGUUAGCUAGUCAGGAGGCUUUGUCAUUUAGAGGGAUCGUCAGUGGAUCUAACUCUCUUGGAUGUCCCCUCUGUUCUAUUUAUUCAGAAAUUAUUCCCCAUCUGUUCUUCGACUGUUUUAUGCCUUUUUAUGUUCGAGAGCAAAUUUACGAGUGGAUGAAACUGUAGUUUCAAUUUGAGUUAGAUGCUUCUGGUAGUAAUCUCAGCAGUUUUAGUUUUUUGCUAAAAGGAAGGAUGAACAAGAGCAAUCGUCUCUUGGUUUGGCUUUCGGUUUGUUGGGCUAUUUAGCCAAGUAGAAAUGAGGUUGUCUUUCAACUAGUGGUUGUGCGGGCUAGUGAAGUGGUUGAUAGGGCUAAAGUGUUGGCUUGGAACGUUUGUUGCCAAAACCAAAGGUGCAGAUGGUUUAAUUUGGUCUGAUUGGUGUUCUAAUCCUUUGGAUUGUCUUGUGAAUCAUUGACUUAUCCCUUCUAUUUUAGGCUUUGAUUCAGUUGACACUCUUAUAGUUCUUUUCUCUUAUAUGGUUGAGUACCCAUUGUACUCUUUCUAUUAAUACAAAUUUUGCCUAUAAAAAAAAAAUACAACAUCACAUGUCUCUCUUACAUUAACCUCUACACAUCUUUAAGUAUUUUGCAAUAAAUUGCAUUAAAAUUAAAUAUAUAAAUUAUUAUCAUAUUUAUAUUUAUAUAUACCAAUAGUUUAUCUUUAAUCUAUACUACUAUUAUUUUGGAUAUAUAACUUGUACUACUAUUUUAAAUUUAAAUCAUAACACACAAAAAUGAAUCAAUGCCCUUUAAAUUUAUAUAUACAUAUAUGUUUAAGUGAAUUGCUCAAUGCCCUUUUCAUUAUUAUUGUAUGAAUCAGUAUUACAAUAGUUUAUUUGCGCGGAGAUAAAAAUAACAACAACAUCUAUGUUUAUAUUCUACAUAACCAUUACUGCAGAUAUAUAUCCUUUCAUGUGCAUUACACUCAUCUCAAAUUCCUUUAUUUUGUG